AUGCCUGGCCAGCAGCACAUAUAUUAAAACUGGAAUAAUACAGAGAAGAUUAGCAGAAGGAUGACAUGCAAAUUUGUGAAGCGUUCCAUAUUAAA
ensembl:snRNA U6 U6 spliceosomal RNA